CUAUUCGCUUGAUUAAUUUCUUUGCUGAAAUCUAUUGCAUUGCAAUUUGCAAAAUUGACCAAUUGGAAACAAUUUGCCUAAUUGGUGUGGUCCUUUAUUCCAAAUAGACACAUAUGGAGUUAAAGAUGGAUAGGGUUAGGGUUAGGCUUUCUAGGUUCAUCUUAAUUUCUUUGUUGAAAAAAAUGUUUGUAGAGGCCCAAUUUAGCCCGGGGCCCAUAAACCAGAAACCAAAAUAAAAAUAAUAAACAGUCCAUUUUUACAACAGCCCAGCAGGCCCAAAAACUUAAAACCCAAGCACAAAGUAGACAGCCCAAAAUUACGGCAGCCCAUAGCUUCAGCAAAAAGAAGAAGGCAGAAACCCUAUCUCCCAUGUGCGCCUCUCCUCCUCAGGCGCACCACCCGCGCCUCGUCCCGAGGCCUGACCCCUUUACUCAGCCUUGCACCGAAAUGGCAAGGUCUCUUCUCCAUUGACUACGCAAAACCUGCAAAGAACACAAAAGCAGAAACAAAGCAGAAACAAAACAGAGAAAUGGCAGCAAGCAAAUAGAAGCAACAAAGCAGUAAAGAUAGGCAGUGUAAUCGGCUAUAAAGCCACCAAAAACCAAAUGUAAAAAGGGGGGAUUUCAUUUUUGAAAUAAAAAGUACAAAGAAAAUUGAACAGAAAGGUGAUUUUCAUUCCAUAUUUUGUUCGUUUUUUUACUUUUAAGUUUUUCUUUCUUUCUUUUCUCGUUUACAUGCGAAAAUAAAAAAGAAGGAAAGACUCACCUAAACCAGUCGAUUCGUUCACCAUAGGUGAGGGACAUGCCGAAAAAGGAGAAGAAACCAAGUGUUUCUUUGUUGCUUCGCCAGAUUUUGGUUGGGUUUUUCUGGGUUUUAGCCUUGGACCCUUGCUUUAUGUGUGGAGGAUUUCAAAAAUAGGUUUUUUUUUGGAACUCCGGCCACCGCGUACAGUGGCCGAUGGGUGGUGGCCCGGUGACCGGAGUUCGGUCAGACAUGGGGGCGAGUUGAGAGAGUUGAGAGCUUUAUUUUUGUUUUUUUAGAGUGAGG
rnacentral:lncRNA from 1 species